GAUGAACGCUGGCGGCGUGCCUAAUACAUGCAAGUCGAGCGAACAGAUAAGGAGCUUGCUCCUUUGACGUUAGCGGCGGACGGGUGAGUAACACGUGGAUAACCUACCUAUAAGACUGGGAUAACUUCGGGAAACCGGAGCUAAUACCGGAUAACAUAUUGAACCGCAUGGUUCAAUAGUGAAAGGCGGCUUUGCUGUCACUUAUAGAUGGAUCCGCGCCGUAUUAGCUAGUUGGUAAGGUAACGGCUUACCAAGGCAACGAUACGUAGCCGACCUGAGAGGGUGAUCGGCCACACUGGAACUGAGACACGGUCCAGACUCCUACGGGAGGCAGCAGUAGGGAAUCUUCCGCAAUGGGCGAAAGCCUGCCGGAGCAACGCCGCGUGAGUGAUGAAGGUCUUCGGAUCGUAAAACUCUGUUAUCAGGGAAGAACAAAUGUGUAAGUAACUGUGCACAUCUUGACGGUACCUGAUCAGAAAGCCACGGCUAACUACGUG
rnacentral:rRNA from 1 species